rnacentral:rRNA from 1 species
UACGUAGGUGGCAAGCGUUAUCCGGAAUUAUUGGGCGUAAAGCGCGCGUAGGCGGUUUUUUAAGUCUGAUGUGAAAGCCCCCGGCUCAACAGGGGAAUGUCAUUGGAAACUGGGGAACUUGAGUGCAGUAGAGGAAAGUGGAAUUCCAUGUGUAGCGGUGAAAUGCGUAGAGAUAUGGAGGAACACCAGUGGCGAAGGCGACUUUCUGGUCUGUAACUGACGCUGAGGUGCGAAAGCGUGGGGAUCAAACAGG